rnacentral:misc_RNA from 1 species
CCCUGCUCUAUGGAGGAAAACAUUCCUCGGCCAGUAGCUUUGUCAACAUUGGAAUUUGGUGGAUUUCUUCUUCUCUCUUCUGAUCUUUUCUCCGGCCACCGGACGUCAUGAGCCCUGUCGUUCAUCAAUCGUCUUCCUCCAUCCUAACAAUGAUCGGAAUUUACUGACCCAAAAUUCCCUGACCCGUUAAAGAAAAAGUUAGAGAGAAAUGAAGCUCUCUCUCAAUCUCCCAGAUGAUGACAACAAUGGCAAUCCUAUCCUAAAAGCCAAAUUACCCAUUUCAAUAUUCAAUCAGCCUUUCACUUCUAUCUUCACCACUGCUACAAAUUCAUUUUCAGACCUCCAAUUCUCUGUUUCCACCAAUUUUCCUUCAGGUCCUUCUCUCAAACUCUCCUACUCUCCACCCACCACCACCACCACUCCAUUUUCUCCUAUCUCUGUAUCUCUAAAGUCAGGUUUAGGCCUCUUUGGCUCUCCUCAUAAUUCGCCUUUGGUUUUCUCUGCCCAUUUCUCCCUCUCUACUGCAAACCCCAUUGCCAUUAUCCCGACUUUCUCCCUCCACUUUAAGCCCCAACUUGGCGAUUUCUCUCUUCACAAAAGCACUGCUUCCUCUUCAGACCCUAACCCUGAUUCUGAUUCUGGGACCCACUUGGUGGAUGUAUCCCAUCUGGAUUCUAGCUCAUCUUCAAAUUUGGAGUUUGGAAAUGUAUAUGUCCCAGACCCAGCUGGGUCAAUGGGUUGGCAGGAAGUGAAAUUGGAGCCAUGUACUGGCAAAGAAAAAGUAGGGUUUGCAAACGAUAACCCAAGUGAUAUUGAUGGGGUUUAUGCUCAUAAUGGAGGAAUAGGCUUUUUGCCUGACAGGCAUUUGGUGUCGGGAGAUAGAAAGAAAGGUGGAUUUACGAGCGGAGUUGCUGUCAAGGCAAGGACAGUGGUUCCGUUAAGCAAAAGGUUAAAGGUGAAUUUGAGGUGGGGUGUGAAUUUGCCAGGUGAUAUGGGACUAAAGAUGCCUUAUUUGACUGUCAAUAAGAUUGGGGUGGAGAGGGUUGAGGAGGUGAAGGAAACAAAAGAAAAGAGCAACGAGAAUAAUAAGGGUGAUUUGGAGUUGUUGAAGGGAAUGUGUUUUUGGAUGAGAAGGGAUUUGGAGAUAAUAGAAAAGGAAAAUAGGGACAUGAAGCAGAUUUUGGAGGACAUGAGAUCAGGAGUCUCGACGAGGAAUUUACGACGAGAGAGUACUGGUGUUGGGAAGAAUUUGGUGCCAGCUUCAAGUGAUAGGUUGGGGGAGUUUAGGCAGUGGAAGAGUAAGAAAAGUGAUGAAGCUAUUGGGCAAACAGAAUUGAAGAAGCCUGCAAAUCCGGUUACUGAUUUGGAAAGUGAGUUGCAGAAGGCUAUAAAAGCUGCUGCUUCUUAACAAGGUUGGAAGUAUUUGUUAUGCUUUACUCUCUUACUUGUUUAGGAUCCGUAUAGUACUGAGCUUUCAGUUUAGGUAAAUCAUGCCACCUCUUUAACACUGAAUAUUCUGAAUAAGUAGGCUGCCAAGUUUGAUUAAAGUAGUAUGGGCCUGCUUGGAAGGUAUUAGCAAUAGAUGUAUGUUUUCUUAUUCAAAUGCUGAAGCAUUUGAGGGAUAUAAUGGAAUUUAUGCACGUAUAAUUGGUUUAUUUUCAAACCAUUUGAUUCUAUUUUUCCUUUGCCUGUGUUAGAUUUCAAAUGAUCCGUUGGGUGAUUUGAGUGAGGUUUCAACUUUGUCGAUUCAUUGCAAGUGAACUUCUGAUGAAGGUAUUAGUAUACUAGUUCGGGGGAAAAACCUGAUGUUCCUCAGCCCAUCAUGUGAUAUGAAAUUGCAAGAUGUUGAACUUUUAUCUGCUUAAUGUGCUUUUUAAAGACAUGAACAUGACAGAUGCUGCCUAAUAAUAAUUGCAUACUGAUAUAUGCUCACAAAUUGGAAUCAGACAUUUCAUUCUGAUAUUUGUAUGAGAAAGAAUUAAGCUUCUGAGUUCUGAUGCAUUAUUAGCAUUUUAAAUUGAUCCAAAAAUUAAGAUUUUUAGGUGAAACUUUAUGGUCAAAAUGGAACUCAAAAUAUCAAUGGUUUGAUUGUAAUAUUGAAUUUACUAAUUAUUUUGAUGCAUAAAGCAAUUCAAUCACUUGUAUAUGUCCG